GGUAGCGAGGCCCGCCUGGGAAUCUCGAUGCUGAAGAGGGCUCUUGCGGUGGGCCUUUUACAUCUGUAGACGCUGGAGGCCCGCAGAAAGGAUACUGUGCCGGAGAAGGUAAAGCACAAGAGAGUGCUUUGUAACCGGAAAGUGCCUUUCAAAAAAGUUAAAAUACUUUCGCUAAACUAGGAACUGCCUACAGCUCUGCCCCUUGGCCAUUUGGUACAAUCCUGCUCCGAGACCUUGAGGAGCUUACUUUUGGUUUGGUGGAAGAAGGACCCUGGAGCUUGUUGAUCCUGAAAAUGUUCAUCUCAGACGUCCUUGUCCUUGAGACUGUUCUGUUGAGGAGAUGGCUGAGCACCUCCUGAUUUGCUCCUGCUACCUGGUAGAGUCGGAACACCUGAUCAUGGGACAUCAAGUGACCAUGUGAAUAAUAAAACCACCCAUCAUGAACUGGUGUUAUCUGAUUCACCGAACCAUACAACUGGAUGAGCACAGAAGCAGUCUACUCCCUAUGAGACUGGGACAUGGCUACAAUUAAACUAAAUGAGCAGAUGACUCAGACUCCUAUAGUCCCUGACUCUACUCCUUCAGCACUUCUCCCCAAACCCAUAUAAAUUGGCUUCGUGAGUUCUUUCUGAUCAAUUAAUGGAAGAGAACAAAGCAUGGGUCCUGUUUGUUCAUGGAAGAAUCUGCAGUGAGCUGGCAAUAGCUGGAUGUGAGUUGUCACUACACACCACCACCACUCAUUAGUGGCCCUGACCCCAGAAUAGUAAAGGGAAAUCCUUCCAUAGGGAAGAACUUUAGGAGACAUGGCCUCAGGUAAGGGUAUACACUGGUUUGUUGUCAGUGGCUUAUGAGUUGACAGGCUAGACAAGAACUUGGAGAGAACAAAUUGGAAAGCUGGUUCCAUUUAUGAGGCCGGCUGGGAUACAAUAACCUGUAAAUUGGGGAUGCUGACCUAAAGAAUGAAGUAUAUGCUUAAAAUCAGUAAUCAGUAUAUGGUGCCACCUUCCCCAAAAUGUAUGCAGAGUGGAGAUGAGAGUAGUCCCUCUAUUUUCAGUAUGACUAAUUUUGUAAAAAAACCCCAAAACAACUGGUGGCAUGUUUUCCAAACUUGGUGAAAAGCAUAAAACUACAAAUCCACAAAGCUCAGUAAAUCACAAGCAGAAAAAUUGCAAUGAAAGUCACACCUCUGCACGUUACAGUCAAACUGAUAAAACUAAUUCAGAAAAACAACUUAAAAGCAUCCAGAGAAAUUAUACAUUAUACACACGAUGGCAGUUAUAUGAAUUUUUUAAAAGGAUGCAUAACACACAGAAAAAUGCACAGAUAUAAUUGUUCAGAAUGACUUGCCACAAAGUGAAGAUAACUAUGUAAUCACCACCCACAUCAAUAACUAUGUCCCUUCUUAGUCAUUACUCUUCUUCCUUCCCAAAGGUAAUCAUCAUUCUGAAUUCUAACACCAAAGAUUAGGUUUGAUAGUGGUUAACCUUUAUAUAAAUUGAAUACAUGACAGUGGUUAACUUAUAUAAAUUGAAUAUAUAAUGUAUUCUUUAGUGUCUGGCUUCUUUUAUUUAACAUUGUGAGAUCCAUCCAUGUUGUUACCUGGAGCAGUUGUUCAUUCAUUUUCAUUGCUAUACAGUAUUCUACUUUAUAAAUAUACCACAUUUAUUUAUCCAUUUUACUGUUGAUAAACAUCAGAGAUGUUUCCAUUUUUUGGCUAUUAAGAGGAGAGCUGCUGUGAACAUUGUUGUGUAUGUCUUUGGGUGUACAUAUGUAUGCAUUUGUGUUGGGUUCUCUUAUUAUGCCUAAUAAACCACUUGAGGAAUUUUUUGGUCCCUGAAACUUCAGACUUAGUGGUUUUGGAGGUUUUAGUACUCAAGGGAGGAAUGCUUCCUAGGAAACAUGGUUUCAGUGAGUUAGAAGUGGACACUGCUUGCUGGCAGGUUUGGGCUUUUUCUAUCACUAAUCAACAGAGAAGGGGAUCACUACUGCCAAGGGUGAAAGAUUCCUUUUAACAGGGAAAUUGGAGUGCUGCUACACAGUAGAGUAAGUAGGACUAUAUAUGGAAUGUAUGAUAUUGCUUCUUAGUAUUUUCUUGGCUGAUAGUCCAAUAAGUAAACUAGAGUAACCCAAAAAGGACCUCCACUAAGAUUCAUCUUACAAGAAUGAAUGUUUGGGUCGCCCCACGUGGUAAAGAACUCCAUUCAAUUUAGGUGCACGCAGAGUGGGAGAAACCUAGAAUGGGUGGUGAAAGAAAGCAGCUAUGCUUAUGAACCUAGUCCUCGUGACCAGCUAAAACACAGGUUUUAUGAAACUAUGAUUAUGUUUUGUUACUUUUCUCCCUUACCAAGUAUGAAAAAUUCUGGGGUGGAUAAUGUUUUUGGCUUCAGAUGAGAGUAUGACUGAAUUGACACCACCCCAUGAUCACUUUGUAGCUGAUGGAAGGAGACUAUGGUGGAAAAGAGUGAGAUGAGCAUUUAUAUUCCCCCUGGCUCCCGCCAUUAGAGGUUGCCUUGAACUGGAUGUGUACCUUGACCAAAGGUCAUUGCCUCUGUCACGAUGAACUCUUCACAAUUCUCUCUCCUUCGAGACUUUGCUUAACUUCUUCUGUCUCUUGGAGAUUACGGGAGGUAUAGUUCUUCUGCUGUUAGCCCUGAGUUACAGAACUAUCCUUGUAAUUCUCUUAUAUCCUAUACACACAUUUGUAAUUAGUCCCUCUGUUUAAAAAAACAAAGAAACAAACAAAAAACCUUCCUUAAAUGAUCUUGAGCACGUCAUUUGUUUUUUUUUUUUAAUUUAUUUUAUUUUUAUUUGGUUGUGCUGGGUCUUAGUUGUGGCAGGCAGGCUCCUUAGUUGUGGCAUGUGAACUCUUAGUUGCGGCAUGCAUGCGGGAUCUAGUUCCCUGACCAGGGAUAGAACCCUGGCCCCCUGCAUUGGGAGCGUGGAGUCUUAACCACUGCGCCACCAGGGAAGUCCCUUGAGUGUAUCAGAUUCCUGUUAGGACUCUUGACACGAGUUUUUUAUCUCUUGUAUUGCUUCUUGCCUAAAAUCUACUUCGAUAUUAGCAUAGCCAGUCUUUGUUCGUUUUUGCAUAUUUUUUCACUUUAA